rnacentral:rRNA from 1 species
GAUGAACGCUGGCGGCGUGCCUAAUACAUGCAAGUCGAGCGAACGGACGAUAAGCUUGCUUCUCUGAUGUUAGCGGCGGACGGGCGAGUAACACGUGGAUAACCUACCUAUAAGACUGGGAUAACUUCGGGAAACCGGAGCUAAUACCGGAUAAUAUUUUGAACCGCAUGGUUCAAAAGUGAAUGACGGUCUUGCUGUCACUUAUAGAUGGAUCCGCGCCGCAUUAGCUAGUUGGUAAGGUAACGGCUUACCAAGGCAACGAUGCAUAGCCGACCUGAGAGGGUGAUCGGCCACACUGGAACUGAGACACGGUCCAGACUCCUACGGGAGGCAGCAGUAGGGAAUCUUCCGCAAUGGGCGAAAGCCUGACGGAGCAACGCCGCGUGAGUGAUGAAGGUCUUCGGGUCGUAAAGCUCUUUUAUUAGGGAAGAACAGAUGUGUAAGUAACCGUGCACAUCUUGACGGUACCUAAUCAAAAAGCAACGGCUAACUACGUG